rnacentral:rRNA from 1 species
GAACGCUGGYGGCGUGCCUAACACAUGCAAGUCGAGCGAUGAAGCUCCUUCGGGAGUGAAUUAGCGGCGGACGGGUGAGUAACACGUGGGUAACCUGCCUCAUAGAGGGGAAUAGCCUUCCGAAAGGGAGAUUAAUACCGCAUAACAUAGCACUACCGCAUGGUAGAGUUAUCAAAGGAGCAAUCCGCUAUGAGAUGGACCCGCGGCGCAUUAGCUAGUUGGUGAGGUAACGGCUCACCAAGGCGACGAUGCGUAGCCGACCUGAGAGGGUGAUCGGCCACAUUGGAACUGAGACACGGUCCAGACUCCUACGGGAGGCAGCAGUGGGGAAUAUUGCGCAAUGGGGGAAACCCUGACGCAGCAACGCCGCGUGAGUGAAGAAGGCCUUAGGGUUGUAAAGCUCUGUCAUAUGGGAAGAUAAUGACGGUACCAUAAGAGGAAGCCACGGCUAACUACGUGCACACCSCGGGGAAA